rnacentral:rRNA from 1 species
AUGCAUUGUUGCACGUGUGCACAGCUUCUAGAGAAGCAAAUAAGCAAGAUAGAAGGCGUCGAGUCCGUGGAGGCGGAUCUCCCAAAUGACCAGGUGAUCGUAAAAGGCGAUAUGGAUCCAGCUAUGCUUGUUGAAAAUAUCCAGAAGAAGAUAAGGAGGGAGGCCGUCAUGGUCAAGGAGGAGAAAACAUCAGAGGGGGAGAAGUCAGAUGAGGUUGAGAACAAAGCCAAUGAUGAUGGUGGUGUCAGCAAACUCAAGAAGUAUGACUCCUGGCCUCCCGCUCGGUACUAUGUUGACGAUGUGAACCCCUACUCUUUAGUGUACCCCUACUCUCCGGUGGAGGUGUAUCGCUACCCUCCCACGCAGUUGUCGGUGACAGAUGAAUUCAGUGGAUGA